ACAUUUAAACAUUUAAACAAAAAAUAUUAAGGAUCACAAAACGAACACACCAUGACACCUAAACUGGGCGACGCUCCCCUAACGAAUGCACCAUGACACCUAAACUGGGCGACGCUCCCCUAACGAAAGCACCAUGGUUGAUCGAGCUGUCAUUUUGUUUUCAAAUUUUGUUUUCAUCCGCGCGCGUGUUCGAUCUUGUUCGUUUCGUUUGUGUUUGGCGUAGUUCAAAUCGAAAAUUGUUAAGUCGACUCGCGUGUGCUCGUGGAGAAACAACAUCCGGCGUUCGUGCAGCAUGGUUCUGUUGGACUAAUCCGCCGGGUGACCGAACCGGAACGGCGGGAUGAGAGAAUUUUCGGAUAUUUGAGGAUUCUCCCACCAGGUUCGCUGACGGGACACAACCCAACGAAAGCGUUCGAAUGGGAGAGGACCCGACGCCUGCUGCGGAAACUUCCGGCCGUGUUUGUUUCUGAUGGUGAGCUCGUCUCGGCUGGAGGCGAAAAUCGUUAGGGGCUUAUUUCACUAAGGAUUGUGCUUUUUGAUUACUCGAAUGUUUAUCCCAAUUACGAAGCAGUUGAUCCGGAACCGGCUACGAACAUUCCGAAUAAUUUCAAACAGUGCGGAUUGAAGCGGAAUAACAAAAGAAAACGACACGGAAAGUUAGUGCUAAAUAAAGUAAAACAAAAAUAAAAAAACGAUAAAAAUACACUCAAACUUACUGAAUUACCAUUAAUUUCAAUGUAUAAAUAUUUGUUUUAUAGUACAAUUUAGUGGGGCCCGCAUAAAGAUUUCUGAUGAACUUACAGUAAAUUUUAACGUUACAAAACGAUAAAAUAUAUUGUUUUUUUGACAGUGUUUUAACAGUAGACAGCAUCGUUUUUUAAGAUAAUUUGCGUCGUAUUUUGGGAUUUUACCAUAAAAAAGGGGGGUUGUUAUGCACCGGUACCAUAAAAAUUUCAAAAUUUUUCCAUACAUUUUUUUUCCAAAUACGACGCAUUUUACUGUUAAUCUAAUGUUGCAUUUUUCAUCCAAAAACUCGUCCUGACUAUAGAAAACAUCAUACAUUAAUAAUAAAAACAGCAAGCAUUACAAUGCAUUGCACAGUCAAUUUACAGUUCUUCAUGGUUUUUUAUCUACUAAAUGAUGCGGUAAAAACUAUAUGCGGACAAUAAAACUAAUAAGCAUUACAAUGAAUUACACAGUAAAAUUAUAAUUCUUUAUGGUUUAUUCCCCACUAAAUGCUACUGUGAAAACUAUUUUCGGACAUUAAAAUAUAUAGUAAAUAAAGUAAA